rnacentral:rRNA from 1 species
AGCAGCCGCGGUAAUUCCAGCUCCAAUAGCGUAUAUUAAAGUUGUUGCAGUUAAAAAGCUCGUAGUUGAAUUUCGGGAUCGACGGGUCGGUCGCGCCUCUGGUGUGUACUGGCCCUGUCGGUUUCUCCCUUCUGACGAACCACGAUGUCAUUAAUUUGGUGUCGUGGGAAAUCAGGACUGUUACUUUGAAAAAUUAGAGUGUUUAAAGCAGGCAUUCGCUUGAAUACAUUAGCAUGGAAUAAUGAAAUAGGACGUUUGAUUCUAUUUUGUUGGUUUCUAGGAUCGACGUAAUGAUUAAUAGGGAUAGUUGGGGCAUUAGUAUUCAAUUGUCAGAGGUGAAAUUCUUGGAUUUAUUGAAGACUAACUACUGCGAAAGCAUUUGCCAAGGAUGUUUUCAUUAAUCAAGAACGAAAGUUAGGGGAUCGAAGACGAUCAGAUACCGUCGUAGUCUUAACCAUAAACUAAUGCCGACUAGGGAUCGGAUGAUGUUAAUUUUUUAAAUGU